CGCUCUCGCCCGAUUGGCCACAGCACCCUCCAAUCAAAGCCGGCCAGCUCGCCUCUCCCUUCGCGCCCCCGUCUCCAAAAGUUGUGACCGCCCGGCCGGCCCCCCACCCUGCGCCUCAGUGGCGGGCAGGAGGAUGGGGCGCGGCUGUGCCUCUGUGCUCCCCUUAUGGCAGCAGCUGCUGCUGCGAGGAGCGGCUCUGCCGCUGCAGCUUCUCCUGUUGCCGCUCUUGCAAGCGGGGGAGGCUCCCCUAGCCCCUGUCAGUGCAGAGAGGAGCCUGGUUUGGGGGCCCGGUCUGGAACCGGAGCUCACGCUGCCCGUCAGGUAUUUCUACAUCCAGGCGGUCAGCGCAGCUGGACAGAACUUCACCCGCUCCCCCCCAGGAAGAACACAGUUUAAAGUGGGAAUUAAAGCACUUUCCCCCAAAGAAGUCAUUGGGAUCCACAUCCCUAACCUUAUGGAUAGGAAUGAUGGGUCAUUUCUUAUACAGUAUCGGAUGUAUGGGAGUGUCAACGAAGGGUUAAAGAUUGAGGUGCUUUAUGGUAAUGAACACGUAGCUCAGUCUCCUUAUAUUUUGAAAGGGCCUGUUUAUCAUGAGUACUGUGAGUGUCCAGAAGAAGAUUCUCAGACCUGGCAGAAUAUUCUCUCUUGUCCAUCCCAGGAGCCUCAAGUUACUAAAGACUUUACUUCUUUUCCCUCCAUCAACCUUCAGCGGAUGCUUCAUGAAGUCCCAACAAGGUUUGGGCAAACGAGAGGCGCUAUUGUUCAUUACACUGUUCUCAAUAAUCACAUCUACCGUCGUUCCUUAGGGAAGUACACAGACUUCAAAAUGUUCUCAGAUGAAAUGUUGCUCUCAUUGGCAAGAAAGGUUCGUCUCCCUGAUAUAGAGUUUUAUCUUAAUGUUGGAGACUGGCCAAUGGAACAUCGAAAAGCAAAUGAUACGCCUGGCCCUAUCCCUAUCGUUUCAUGGUGUGGCUCUGUGGAUUCAAGAGACCUAGUCCUUCCAACAUAUGAUAUAACCCAUUCAACACUUGAAACCCUACGUGGUGUUACAAAUGACCUCCUUUCUAUUCAAGGAAACACAGGCCCUUUCUGGCACAACAAAACAGAGCGAGCUUUCUUUAGAGGUCGAGACAGCCGUGAAGAACGUCUCCAAUUGGUGCAGCUAUCUAAGGAGAAUCCAGAGCUACUAGAUGCUGGAAUAACAGGAUAUUUCUUCUUCCGAGACAAGGAGAAAGAGCUGGGAAAGGCUCAGCUGAUGGGAUUCUUUGACUUCUUUAAGUACAAAUAUCAAGUGAAUGUAGAUGGGACAGUAGCAGCGUACAGAUUCCCAUACCUCAUGUUGGGUGACAGUCUAGUACUGAAACAAACUUCUCAAUACUAUGAGCACUUCUACAGUGAAUUAAAGCCAUGGAAGCAUUAUGUUCCAAUUAAAAGAAGCCUUGAUGACUUGCUAGAAAAAAUAAAAUGGGCUAAGGUAAAUGAUGAAGAAGCUAGAAAGAUUGCUAAAGAAGGUCAGUUAGUUGCAAGAGAAUUACUGCAGCCUCACAGGCUUUACUGCUAUUAUUACAAAGUGUUCCAGAAAUAUGCCAAGCACCAAGCCAGCAAACCUGAAAUAAGAGAUGGAAUGGAACUUGUACCUCAACCUGAUGACAGCAUUUCCGUCUGCAAUUGCCAUAGGAAAAAGGCUUUAAGGGAAGAUCUAUAACUGUACCAAAUGAAGAAAACCACUCCUGUUUCACUAAUGAUGCAAAACUAUACAUGGGAUUUAAGCUGUGAAAACUAGGACAUUCUUGUGCACUGGGGAACAUUCUUGUCAAGCCUCCCCUGAGUCUUUGACGCACAGCAGGAGGAGUCCAAUCUCACCACCCAGGGGCUGCCUGAAAGUAGGUGAAACUCCAAGAUACCUGGCACAUAUGUAAUGGAAAAGGACGCGGGGAUUACAGUGGACAAGAAGCUGGAUAUGAGUCAACAGUGUGCCCUUGUUGCCCAGAAGGCUAAUGGCAUAUUGGGCUGAAUUAGUAGGAACAUUGCCAGCAGAUCAAGAGAAGUGAUUAUUCCCCUCUAUUCGGCACUGGUUUCUUCAGAAUGGAUUCACUGCCUACAUAUGAGAAAUUACUUCUUUUGAAGAGAUGUCUUUGGAUCCCUUUUGCUUUCUGCUUCCCAAGAACCCUUCAUUGGCUGGACUUGCCCAUCCAGCUGAAGAGGACUCAUUUAGUUCCUGUAGGAACUCAACAAACCACCUCUGAGUUAGCUGGAGGGUAUUACUACAGAGCAGAGCCCAGUGUGCUAGAAAAGCCAGCAAAUAUUGUACCUGUAGCCUUUGAAAGUCACCCACUCAAAACAGUUACUAAGCCCUUUUGUGUCCUAAGCAUGUUCUGCUUGCUUGUAGUAGUGUCAGCUCUGAACGUGAGUCAUGACCUCUCACAUGCUCCCAGACCAGCAGGACACGUAUUGAGCUAAGACCUAAACUUAACAACACACUUUGUGAUUUGUCAGAUUUUUAACUGUUAGCAAUAUUGCCAACACUUGGUUAACAGAAGUUCAGAGGUCUUUCAUCUUAAAGUUGUAACAUGAAACCUUUACUCUUAUCAAGAUUGUACAUCCUAUACUGGAACAUUUUGUUGCCAUGGGUUCCAGUGAAACUACAUAGGCAGACUGGAACAUGUCAUCCCUGUCAGCCACACCUCCAAAUUCAAGAUGUGUCCUCAUAUUUGAUCUCUGCCUGAUUAAAGUAAUCCUCUGCUAGGGUAGAAUGUCAGCUAUUUUUCCACUGAAACAGGUGCAUGAAAUGUUAUAGCUCAGAGAUCCAUAUCACCUACACAAGUUAGGCCAACUAUGAGCUCUUGUAAUUGCUUGUUUUCUUAGUCCACAUUUGUGAUCCAGGACAGGAGGCAUACCCUAUCUGUAAAUGGAAAUAGUAAAGGCACAACCGGCCAUGUUCUGAGUCGUAAUUCUAAAACAUGAUGGUGCUGCACUACCAAAUUGUCGAAAACCUGAGGGAAGACCUAAUUUGAAUAAAAUGAAAACCUCAGACUCGUUCUGGUACUUGCUGCAGUAUGUCUUCUGAACUCUUUUGGCUAUCUGUACUAGAUUGUAAGAACUUUGAAGCAGGGAUCCCCGGAUGCCAAUCCAUGAAGGCAGUGGAGUUUCAAAAUAAGGUGAACAUAAGGGCGGCUUAACCGGUGGGCACUGUGGUCAGGGAAGCGCUGUGGUCAAGAAGCAAGGAGUGGGAUGGGCCUGGGAUGAAAGGGAGCUCGGGGAAUGAGUGGGGGAGGCAGUGGGGCCCAGAGGUGAUGGGGGGAUUCCUCUGCCACUUUGGCCUUAGCCCCUCUACUUUUACAAAGGUUCCGGUGCCCUUGGGCUCCCCACAGUGACUUGUCUGCCUGGGCAGGUGCUGCGGCUCUUACCACAGCCUGGUUCCAGCUUCUGGCCUAGCCAAGGGGUGGGGCCUUGGGGGAGAGGAGGAGCAGAGGGCGGGGCCCCAUAGUGAUGGAGUUGUGGGGGGCUCAAAAGUUCUUUUUACCCAGAGCCCCCAUUAACCUUAAUGCACCUCUGGGCAUUAUACAUCCAGAAUGUACACUUGUUCUGAGGUCCUGAAGCAGGUGAGAGGCAAACCAGUUGAAAGUCCCUGGGUGAAGAUAAAAAGGGAAAAAAACUGGGGCAAUGUCAUGGUAGGGGUUUACUAUGGACCUCCAAAUCAAGAGGAGGAGGCGAAUGAGGCAUUUCUAGAACAAAUAACAGAAAUAUCCAAAACACAAAGCAUGGGAGUAUUGGGGGACUUCCACUACCCAGACAUCUAUUGGAAAAGUAAUACAGCAAAACACAAAAUUUCCAGAAGGUUCUUAGAAUGUGUUGGGGACUUCUUGUUUCAGAAGGUGGGUGAAGUAAACAGGGGGACAGCCAUUUUAGACUUGAUUCUGAAUAGCAGUGAGGAAGUGAUUGUGAAUUUGAAGGAGCAAGGCAACUUGGAUGAAAGUGAUCAUAAAAUGAUAGGCUUCAUGGUUCUAAGGAAAGGAAGGAGUGAGAGAAGCAGAAUAAGGCCAAUGGAUUUCAAAAAAGUAGUCUUUAACAAACUCAGAGAACUGGUAGAUAGGUAGGCUCCCACCAAAAGAGAAUCCAAGGAACAAAAGAAUUCAGGAGAGCUGGCAGUUUCUCAAAGAAAAUAUUAACAGCACAGGAGCAAACUAUCCCAAUGAGAAGAAAAGGAAGGAAGAUUAGUAAAAGGCCAAUACAGCUGCAUCAGGAGCUCUUUAAUGACCUGAAAAUCAAAAAGAAAUCCUAUAAAAAGUGGAAACAUGGACAACAUGCUGAGGAUGAGUACAAAAAUAUAGCACAAGAUGUAGGGAGAAAAUCAGAAAGGCUAAGGCUCCUAGCAAGGGACAUAAAAGACAAUAAGAAGAGGUUCUAUAAGUAAAUUAGGAGCAAGAGAAGACAAAGAAAAAUGUAGGUCCACUACUUAGCUGGGAAGAAAAGAUAAUAAUGGAUGACAUCAAGAAAGCUGAGGUGUUUAAUGCCUAUUUUGCUUCAAUCUUCACAAGGUAAAUUCUGACCAGAUACUCAACACAAUAUUAACAACAAUGGGGAAGGUUAAAGAAUAUUUAGCUAAAUUAGAUGUAUUCAAGUCAGCAGCACCUGAGGAAAUUCACCCUAAGGGUACAUAAGAAACUAACUGAAGCAAUCUUGGAAUCAUAGAAUCAUAGAAUAUCAGGGUUGGAAGGGACCCCAGAAGGUCAUCUAGUCCAACCCCCUGCUCGAAGCAGGACCAAUUCCCAGUUAAAUCAUCCCAGCCAGGGCUUUGUCAAGCCUGACCUUAAAAACCUCUAA